GACGAACGCUGGCGGCGUGCUUAACACAUGCAAGUCGAACGGAAAGGCCCUGCUUGUGUGGGGUGCUCGAGUGGCGAACGGGUGAGUAACACGUGAGUAACCUGCCCUUGACUUUGGGAUAACUUCAGGAAACUGGGGCUAAUACCGUAUAGGAGCUCCUGCUGCAUGGUGGGGGUUGGAAAGUUUCGGCGGUUGGGGAUGGACUCGCGGCUUAUCAGCUUGUUGGUGGGGUAGUGGCUUACCAAGGCUUUGACGGGUAGCCGGCCUGAGAGGGUGACCGGCCACAUCGGGACUGAGAUACGGCCCAGACUCCUACGGGAGGCAGCAGUGGGGAAUAUUGCACAAUGGGCGGAAGCCUGAUGCAGAAACGCCGCGUGCGGGAUGACGGCCUUCGGGUUGUAAACCGCUGUCGCCUGUGACGAAGCGUGAGUGACGGUAAUGGGUAAAGAAGCACCGGCUAACUACGUG
rnacentral:rRNA from 1 species